rnacentral:rRNA from 1 species
GGAAGCUUCACGAUGUAUCGGUGGCGCAAGCCACCAGCAGAUCCAAGUGAAGAGUUUGAUCCUGGCUCAGAUUGAACGCUGGCGGCAUGCCUACACAUGCAAGUCGAGCGGCAGCGCGGGGGCAACCCUGGCGGCGAGCGGCGGACGGGUGAGUAAGGCAUCGGAAUCUGCCCUGAUNUGGGGGAUAACGUAGGGAAACUUACGCUAAUACCGCAUACGACCGAGAGGUGAAAGCGGGGGACCGAAAGGCCUCGCGCAGCAGGAUGAGCCGAUGUCCGAUUAGCUGGUUGGUGGGGUAAUGGCCUACCAAGGCGACGAUCGGUAGCUGGUCUGAGAGGAUGAUCAGCCACACUGGGACUGAGACACGGCCCAGACUCCUACGGGAGGCAGCAGUGGGGAAUAUUGGACAAUGGGGGCAACCCUGAUCCAGCAAUG